CCAGCCGCCGCGGUAAUACGUAGGUGGCAAGCGUUGUCCGGAUUUACUGGGCGUAAAGCGAACGCAGGCGGACUGUUAAGUAGGAAGUGAAAGGUCGGAGCUCAACUCCAACAUUGCUUCCUAUACUGGCAGUCUUGAGUAGCGGAGAGGAAGGGGGAACGACACGUGUAGCGGUGAAAUGCGUUGAUAUGUGUCGGAACACCCAUGGCGAAAGCACCCUUCUGGACGCAAACUGACGCUCAGGUUCGAAAGCCAAGGUAGCGAACAGGAUUAGAUACCCUGGUAGUCUUGGCCCUAAACUAUGUUCACUAGGUGUCGGGGGGUUUCCCUCGGUGCCGCAGCUAACGCAUUAAGUGAACCGCCUGGGGACUACGGCCGCAAGGUUGAAACUCAAAGGAAUUGGCGGGGGCCCGCACAAGCGGUGGAGCAUAUGGCUUAAUUCGAUGCAACGCGAAGAACCUUACCAGGGCUUGACAUGCAACUGCAAGCCGCCGAAAAGCGGUCGCUUUCGAAGGUGUUGCACAGGUGGUGCAUGGCUGUCGUCAGCUCGUGUUGUGAAAUGUUGGGUUAAGUCCCGCAACGAGCGCAACCCUCAUGUUUUGUUGCCAGCGAGUCAAGUCGGGAACUCAAAACAAACUGCCUCUGUAAAGAGGAGGAAGGUGGGGAUGACGUCAAGUCAUCAUGCCCCUUACGCCCUGGGCUGCACAUAUGCUACAAUGGCUGCGACAAUGGGUUGCUAUCCCGCGAGGGCUUGCUAAUCUCAAAAACGCAGUCUCAGUUCGGAUUGGAGUCUGCAACUCGACUCCAUGAAGUUGGAAUCGCUAGUAACCGCAGGUCAGCAAUACUGCGGUGAAUACGUUCCCGGGCCUUGCACACACCGCCCGUCACAUGACGAAAGUUGGUAUUACCCGAAGUCACCAGGCUAACCGCAAGGAAGCAAGUGCCGAAGGUAGUGCCGAUGAUUGGCGUGAAGUCGUAACAAGGUAACCAAG
rnacentral:rRNA from 1 species